UCCUGUUUGGCUCAGAUGGUAAAAGUGUGGUGCUGGAAACACUACCGUCAUGGGUUCAAUUCCAACAGGGA
rnacentral:tRNA from 1 species